rnacentral:rRNA from 1 species
CUUACAGUGACUGUGACGGGUAACGGAGAAUUGGGGUUCGGUUCCGGAGAGGGAGCCUGAGACACGGCUACCACAUCUACGGAAGGCAGCAGGCGCGAAAAUUAUCCAAUCAGGACACCUGGAGAUAGUGACAAAACAUAACAAUGCCCUGGCUUUUAUGGCUAGGGCAAUUGGGCUGAGAGCAGUGUAAAGGGAUGCUCGAAGACCAUUAGAGGGCAAGUCUGGUGCCAGCAGCCGCGGUAAUUCCAGCUCUAAUAGCGCAUAUUCAAGUUGUUGCAGUUAAAAAGCUCGUAGUUGAAUGUUGUUGCAGCAGUCCCGAGUGGUGGGUGUCGUGUUACAUGGCAGUUUCACCAAGACUCGUUGGAGUUUGUUGUAUGAUUAUGUGAUGGUGUUCCCAGGUCUUCUUCAUUGGGGGUCUGGGGGCGUUGUUGCAAUUUUACUGUGAAAAAAUGAGAGUGUUUAAAGCAAUUUGUUUCUGGAUAUUGAAAACAAAAGCAUGGAAUAAAGAGAUAAGACUUGUACAUGUGGCUACCUUGUGUGGUUGCAUGAUGUAAUGGUUGGUGUUAUGAUACAAGUAAUGAUUAAUAGGGACAGUUGUGGGUAUUCAUAUUUCAAUGUCAGAGGUGAAAUUCUUGGAUUUUUGAAAGAUGAACAAGUGCGAAAGCAUUUACCAAGGAUGUUUUCAUUAAUCUGGAGCAAAAGUCGGGGGAGCAAAGAGGAUUAGAUACCCUCGUAGUCUCGACCAUAAACAAUGCCAUCUUUGGAUAUCACAUGAUUGUAUGUACCGCCACGUCAAGUGGUGGUAUGAAUGGAUAUGUGAUGCACAAUGUGGGAAACCAAGAGAGUUUGGGCUCCUGGGGGAGUAUGGUCGCAAGGCUGAAACUUAAAGGAAUUGACGGAAGGGCACCACCAGCAGUGGAGCCUGCGGCUUAAUUUGACUCAACACGGGGAAACUUACCAGGUCCAGACAUGAAUUGGAUUGACAGAUUGAGAGCUCUUUCUUGAUUUUAUGGGUGGUGGUGCAUGGCCGUUCUUAGUUGGUGGGGUGACUUGUCUGGUUGAUUCCGAUAACGAACGAGACCUCUACAUGUUGGUUGUUUCCACUUAUUCAUUUUGUGAUAGGUGAUCUACUUGAAACUCCUAACGGGACAAUGGAUGUUUUAGUCCAUGGAAGUGAGAGGCAAUAACAGGUCUGUGAUGCCCUUAGAUGUUCUGGGCUGCACGCGCGCUACACUGACAAGUUCAACAAGUAUGUCUUUUAUCACUCGCCUUGCGUGGGUGUUGAUCCUGCAUGGAAACAUGUGGGUAAUCUUGAAAGACUUGUCGUGCUUGGGAUAGACGAUUGCAAUUAUUUGUCUUGAACGAGGAAUUCCUAGUAAACGCAAAUCAUCAGUUUGCAUUGAUUUCGUCCCUGCCCUUUGUACACACCGCCCGUCGCACCUACCGAUUGAGUGAAGAGGUGAAAUUUUCGAAUCUGCUUUGCCCCUGUUCACGCAGGAGCAAGGCUGAAAAGUAACUUGAAUCUUUUUACUUAGAGGAAGGUGAAGUCGUAACAAGGUUUCCGUAGGUGAACCUGCGGAAG